GUUAAAAAACCAUGUGGCUAAACAGGGAGGUUCUAUUAUGUGCAAAUUGUUGAAUGACUGUUUGAUUGUACAGACGUUUUAUGGGUUUUGCUCUUCUGAUUAAAAUUUAACAUGAAGUAGACUGGUUAGUUCUAGAAUUUUCGUUUGCCCCUUGCCCAAUAGUUAGUUUAGGUACUGUAAUGGUGAUUCUAAGUUAGUCAUGAGAAUGAUGUCUCCGUGU
rnacentral:lncRNA from 1 species